UGAUUGGCUACUAGUCCUUACCUGGGGACUGCGCAUGUGCAACUCCCAACAAAGAUUUUGUACAAGGGGUGUGGCAGCUGGCUCAGCACCUGGCUCUCCUCCACACCUGCAGCAGAUCAGCUCAUCACCGCUCUUCUCUUAAGCUCCAACCUCCUGGAGGGUCGGUGCCAGAUUGUUUUUAUUUUUUUUUAUUUUGCCAUCCGUGACCUCCACUGCCUCGUGCCACCUCACAUCGCCAGCCACACAGCCACUCAUGGAUCCCCAAGCUCUCUAGCUUCCCAGUCUGGACUUCCAAACCCUCACCUAGUUAACUGUUUUGUUCUCGAGAAUAAACCUGUUUUUCUCCACA